CGGGGUGUAGCGCAGCCAGGCUAGCGCGCAGCGUUCGGGACGCUGAGGUCGGAGGUUCGAGUCCUCUCACCCCGACCA
rnacentral:tRNA from 1 species